rnacentral:rRNA from 1 species
CCUACGGGUGGCUGCAGUGGGGAAUAUUGCACAAUGGGCGCAAGCCUGAUGCAGCCAUGCCGCGUGUGUGAAGAAGGCCUUCGGGUUGUAAAGCACUUUCAGCGGGGAGGAAGGCGGUGAGGUUAAUAACCUCAUCGAUUGACGUUACCCGCAGAAGAAGCACCGGCUAACUCCGUGCCAGCAGCCGCGGUAAUACGGAGGGUGCAAGCGUUAAUCGGAAUUACUGGGCGUAAAGCGCACGCAGGCGGUCUGUCAAGUCGGAUGUGAAAUCCCCGGGCUCAACCUGGGAACUGCAUUCGAAACUGGCAGGCUAGAGUCUUGUAGAGGGGGGUAGAAUUCCAGGUGUAGCGGUGAAAUGCGUAGAGAUCUGGAGGAAUACCGGUGGCGAAGGCGGCCCCCUGGACAAAGACUGACGCUCAGGUGCGAAAGCAUGGGGAGCAAACAGGAUUGGAUACCCGGGUAGUC